CACGUAGGGCGCAAGCGUUGACCGGAAUUAUUGGGCGUAAAGAGCUCGUAGGCGGUCUGUUGCGUCCGCUGUGAAAACUCGGGGCUUAACCCCCGAGCCUGCAGUGGAUACGGGCAGACUAGAGGUAGGUAGGGGAGAAUGGAAUUUUCCCCGGUGUAGCGGUGAAAUGCGCAGAUAUCGGGGAGGAACACCGGUGGCGAAGGCGGUUUUCUCUGGGCCUACCUGACGCUGAGG
rnacentral:rRNA from 1 species